GCAUCAGUGGUCUGAUGGUUAUGAUCCGGUCUUCCCAAAGUUUGAAUGGCCGGGAAAGGGGUUCGACUCCCCUCUGAUGCA